rnacentral:rRNA from 1 species
UACGUAGGGCGCAAGCGUUGUCCGGAAUUAUUGGGCGUAAAGAGCUCGUAGGUGGUUUGUUACGUCUGCUGUGAAAACCUAGGGCUUAACCCUGGGCCUGCAGUGGAUACGGGCAGACUAGAGGUAGGUAGGGGAGAAUGGAAUUCCCGGUGUAGCGGUGAAAUGCGCAGAUAUCGGGAGGAACACCGGUGGCGAAGGCGGUUCUCUGGGCCUUACCUGACACUGAGGGACGAAAGCGUGGGGGACGAACAGG